rnacentral:tRNA from 1 species
AAAAGAAAGGUUUAAGUAAAACUCUGGACUUUAAUUCCAGAGAUCUUAGGGUAAAUACAAAUUCUUUUA